rnacentral:rRNA from 1 species
UACGAAGGGGGCUAGCGUUGUUCGGAAUUACUGGGCGUAAAGGGCGCGUAGGCGGCGUGUCAAGUCAGGCGUGAAGCCCCGGGCUCAACCUGGGAACCGCGCUUGAGACUGGCAUGCUCGAGUUCGGGAGAGGAUGGUGGAAUUCCCAGUGUAGAGGUGAAAUUCGUAGAUAUGGGGAGGAACACCGGUGGCGAAGGCGGCCAUCUGGACGGAUACUGACGCUGAGACGGCGAAAAGCGUGGGGAGCAAACAGGG